ensembl:antisense Gm29491 predicted gene 29491
CUGCGGGCUGCCCCGGGACUCGCACCCUUCCCUAGCUUCUCCUAGCUUCCACCAAGGUUGCACUUUCUCGCUUAGGGUAAUUUCAGCAGCUCCGCUCCGAGCAAACCUUCUGCUGCCAGCAGAUAACAUCACGAUUCUGCCCGGAGCAGAGUUUUAUAUGUGCUCCCCAAACCACGUGUUUGCCUUCAACAAAGUGACGCGCUAGGAUUACAGUCAGAAGUCCUCUGUUACUAAGACCACGAGCUCUGGACCAUUGGAGGGGGUGUGGAAAAGGGGGACGGCCAGUAAGGGAGGUCAAAGUCAACAUUUCAAUCUUAGUGAUGACUCUGUGGCCACGAUGACUACACAGGUUGUUAAAGCUGGAAACUGUUGAGAAUUCCCCCAGGUUAAGACCUCAGUAUCAUUUUCCUAGUUCAAAAGGAUCAAACCUUUAGGGAUGCAUACAUGUGUAUGUGUGUGUGUGUGUGGGGGGGGUUAUAUUCUUACUAGAGGGAGCUGUAAUGAUAUGU